GACGAACGCUGGCGGCGUGCUUAACACAUGCAGGUCGAACGGAAAGGCCCUGCUUUUGUGGGGUGCUCGAGUGGCGAACGGGUGAGUAACACGUGAGUAACCUGCCCUCGACUUUGGGAUAACUUCAGGAAACUGGGGCUAAUACCGGAUAGGAGCUCCUGCUGCAUGGUGGGGGUUGGAAAGUUUCGGCGGUUGGGGAUGGACUCGCGGCUUAUCAGCUUGUUGGUGGGGUAGUGGCUUACCAAGGCUUUGACGGGUAGCCGGCCUGAGAGGGUGACCGGCCACAUUGGGACUGAGAUACGGCCCAGACUCCUACGGGAGGCAGCAGUGGGGAAUAUUGCACAAUGGGCGGAAGCCUGAUGCAGCAACGCCGCGUGCGGGAUGACGGCCUUCGGGUUGUAAACCGCUUUCGCCUGUGACGAAGCGUGAGUGACGGUAAUGGGUAAAGAAGCAUCGGCUAACUACGUG
rnacentral:rRNA from 1 species